UUGCUCUUGUGGAUCAGUGGCGAACGGGUGAGUAACACGUGAGCAACCUGCCCCUGACUCUGGGAUAAGCGCUGGAAACGGCGUCUAAUACUGGAUAUGUGACGUGACCGCAUGGUCUGCGUUUGGAAAGAUUUUUCGGUUGGGGAUGGGCUCGCGGCCUAUCAGCUUGUUGGUGAGGUAAUGGCUCACCAAGGCGUCGACGGGUAGCCGGCCUGAGAGGGUGACCGGCCACACUGGGACUGAGACACGGCCCAGACUCCUACGGGAGGCAGCAGUGGGGAAUAUUGCACAAUGGGCGAAAGCCUGAUGCAGCAACGCCGCGUGAGGGAUGACGGCCUUCGGGUUGUAAACCUCUUUUAGCAGGGAAGAAGCGAAAGUGACGGUACCUGCAGAAAAAGCGCCGGCUAACUACGUGCCAGCAGCCGCGGUAAUACGUAGGGCGCAAGCGUUAUCCGGAAUUAUUGGGCGUAAAGAGCUCGUAGGCGGUUUGUCGCGUCUGCUGUGAAAUCCCGAGGCUCAACCUCGGGCCUGCAGUGGGUACGGGCAGACUAGAGUGCGGUAGGGGAGAUUGGAAUUCCUGGUGUAGCGGUGGAAUGCGCAGAUAUCAGGAGGAACACCGAUGGCGAAGGCAGAUCUCUGGGCCGUAACUGACGCUGAGGAGCGAAAGGGUGGGGAGCAAACAGGCUUAGAUACCCUGGUAGUCCACCCCGUAAACGUUGGGAACUAGUUGUGGGGUCCAUUCCACGGAUUCCGUGACGCAGCUAACGCAUUAAGUUCCCCGCCUGGGGAGUACGGCCGCAAGGCUAAAACUCAAAGGAAUUGACGGGGACCCGCACAAGCGGCGGAGCAUGCGGAUUAAUUCGAUGCAACGCGAAGAACCUUACCAAGGCUUGACAUAUACGAGAACGGGCCAGAAAUGGUCAACUCUUUGGACACUCGUAAACAGGUGGUGCAUGGUUGUCGUCAGCUCGUGUCGUGAGAUGUUGGGUUAAGUCCCGCAACGAGCGCAACCCUCGUUCUAUGUUGCCAGCACGUAAUGGUGGGAACUCAUGGGAUACUGCCGGGGUCAACUCGGAGGAAGGUGGGGAUGACGUCAAAUCAUCAUGCCCCUUAUGUCUUGGGCUUCACGCAUGCUACAAUGGCCGGUACAAAGGGCUGCAAUACCGUGAGGUGGAGCGAAUCCCAAAAAGCCGGUCCCAGUUCGGAUUGAGGUCUGCAACUCGACCUCAUGAAGUCGGAGUCGCUAGUAAUCGCAGAUCAGCAACGCUGCGGUGAAUACGUUCCCGGGUCUUGUACACACCGCCCGUCAAGUCAUGAAAGUCGGUAACACCUGAAGCCGGUGGCCUAAC
rnacentral:rRNA from 1 species